rnacentral:lncRNA from 1 species
UUGGUAUGGUUUUAUUCAUGUACAACAAGAUUAAUUAACAAUAAUCAUAUAAAUAUAUAUAAUAUCUGUAUACAUAUAAGUAGAGCAGAGUAUACAAUUUGCCAUAAUAUUUGCAGAUAUGUACAUUGGCAGUAAAAUCUAUCACUUCGUACUAAACCUAUACAGUGUAUAUACUUCUACAUCACGUAUAGAAUACAACAUAUUCAAAUGUCAAUUGUCGAUAUAUUCCUCAUUUCAACAACUGAAGUUGCUAUUUAUCAGACAUUACAU